AAAUUGAAGAGUUUGAUCAUGGCUCAGAUUCAACGCUGGCGGCAGGCCUAACACAUGCAAGUCGAACGGUAACAGGAAGCAGCUUGCUGCUUCGCUGACGAGUGGCGGACGGGUGAGUAAUGUCUGGGAAACUGCCUGAUGGAGGGGGAUAACUACUGGAAACGGUAGCUAAUACCGCAUAACGUCGCAAGACCAAAGUGGGGGACCUUCGGGCCCCAUGCCAUCAGAUGUGCCCAGAUGGGAUUAGCUAGUAGGUGGGGUAACGGCUCACCUAGGCGCCGACCCCUAGCUGGUCUGAGAGGAUGACCAGCCACACUGGAACUGAGACACGGUCCAGACUCCUACGGGAGGCAGCAGUGGGGAAUAUUGCACAAUGGGCGCAAGCCUGAUGCAGCCAUGCCGCGUGUAUGAAGAAGGCCCUCGGGUUGUAAAGUACUUUCAGCGGGGAGGAAGGGAGUAAAGUUAAUACCUU
rnacentral:rRNA from 1 species